GCUCUGUCUCACAACGUCUCAAUCGCAUCUCAACCGCUAGAAUCAAGGAUGAAGAAGAUAGAGUUCUGUACCAGAAGGAGGACAGUCCAGUUUAGAAGAGGCCCAUCGGGGCAUUUAAGACAGGACACCUCCGCUGAGGCAAUGACGAUAAAAACAACCCCUCCCUGCAAGACAAAUCUGCACCUCAACUGGAGGAGGUUGUCUGCAGCUGCACCACGUAAAAGGGGAAGGAGCUGCUGUUCCUAUCUGGAUCCCUGUCAGAGGAACCUCUCAGCAGGAGGGCUUCCACUUUCACCAGGCUCGGUGGGUGAUGGGCAACAAUGUCUCUACCGAGCUGUUCCAGGCCCAGGGGAUGACCGAAGUGGUUCACUGGAACUUUCAGAGGCUGGUGGACCUGAAGCUGCCUGACGUGGUCCUACUGGGAGUGUUUGACCCUGUUUUAAUUGCAGAGCUCAACAUGGCAUCCACGAAGGUGACUGGGCAGGCCAAAUAUCCAGCACUGAUUCACGUGUCAGCCAGAGACACAGUCGAGAGGUUUGGACUCCUUCUGAAGGGAACGUCUCUUAGGAGAUGGACGUAGCACGUGUCCUGGUGUCUCUCAGUGCUGAGACCUGUGCCUUCCCACCAACAGAGGAGCUGGUGGAGCCCUCACAGUGGUUUGCCACUCCAAAAAAAGAAUACACAUCGUCUGAGAGACAAACAGAUCUGCUGAGCACUUCACCACUGACCCUGACAGCCUCUCCCCGUGCUGCACACACAGGACCCAUUAAGACUGGUGGACGUAUCUUUGUACUGGACCAUGGCCGGUGGACGCAACCCAUGAGAGAUGCCAUUGAUGGACUCCUAGCAAAGUGCCAUGAGAAGAAAGAAAUGCUGAAGCAGAUGGAUGCUGACUAUGCUGCCCUUGUGCACAGAUCUUGCAAAGACACCAAUAGUCUCCUUCAUCCAACCACUAGGCAGCAUAUCUCUCGGUAUGUGAAACACCUUGCCAGGGCCGGCCCAAGCCUUUAUGGGGCCCUAAGCAGAAUUUGAUUUGGGGGCCCCUCGGUGCCGCCAAUAUGAUUGAAUAUUGUCAAUGCUUGAUUAUUCGCACACUAUAAAAUCUAACACACCCCACAGAACGGUAAGACUCAAUUUUAUUAGUUGUAGCUGUGUUGCUUACAACAUACCAAUGUCUGCCUGGCAUGAUUUUACCCUUCUACGGUUUAAAUGUAACAGUAGCACACCUAUAUUUACCCAAUCCUGUUGAUCCUCUGUUACCAGUUUUGUGUACUUCCUAGAGAACAAUUUGCUGUAGACUGUAUCAUUUCUUUUUGAAUAAGUGAGCAGCUCCACUUAAAUUUUUUCCCCAUUAAUUAACAUUCUGUAGGUGUAGUGGAAGCUUCGGCCAUCAGGUUUUUCAGGGAAUGUGAAGUUUUCCUUUAUAGGCAGUGGCCCUCUGCUUACCAGAUCAGUCCUUUCUGAGUCGGACAUGAUAGAUGACAACAUCAGUGGAUGCACGUGCUGGGAAGUGCUCCUCGCAUGCAGAGGAUGGACCUGAUGAAAGAUGAAAAUAAUAAUUAAAGCUAGCCAUGUUAGAUGUCAUAUUAGAAGGUAAUGCAACUGUCUGUCAAAAACAAAGGCAUGGUUUAUCCAUAUAAAUAUAUUGAUCUGGGAUUGUUGAAAAAUCAUCAUCAGCUGUAGCAGUGGAACUUGGGGCAGGUGGCGUUGGUUGUGCCCCACGUCCAAAAUUUUUCAACAGUGCUCCUAGGGAUGUUUCAUAAGAGUACAUAUUUGACAGACUAUUUGACAAAAUAUGUUAUUUUCUCAACACAAAUUAUUAUACACAGCAGCAAGCCAUCUGUACUCCUAAAACAACAACUCUUAAUCUAUAACUAGCUAACUGAGGCAUAAUGAUAUUGGAAUAUAAUAGCAAAAUGGUAAACUACCAAAAUGGUAGACUAAUGUAAAUAUUGUUAAGUUGUCAGUUAUCAGUACAAAGUUUAUGGAACAGAAGCUUAUUUUUAUUACAAAAAUAUACACCCAUGAAAGUUAUUUUUACACAGAAGACAAAAACUUUAAUCUAAAACUAGCAAAGUAAUAUGUUGUACUAAUAAUAUAUUAAGAUGUCAAGGCUAUUUACGGAUGAUUAAUCAAACUUUCCUAAAAAAGAAGACAUGCUACAUAGGCUAUGUUAACUAACUAGCCAGCUAAUGUUAGCUCAUAACUUAGCCUAGCUACUUAACAUAACUUUAUCGUGCUGUUUUUUCUCUUCCUCUGUUUUCUUCUUUUUCCUUUUCUUUGCACCAGAGGAUAUGUCCUUUUUUGUGACAUUGCUGUUUUGCUGUCUGAAUGUGCUUGCAUCCUGCAGCCCGUUAACAUAAUAUUGCAUUUAAUAUUGCGUUUUUGUAUAAUUACCAUUGUCCAUUGGUAAUUAUACCAAUGGACAAUUAUACUGUCCAUUGACAGUAUAAUAAAAAAAAAAAAAAAAAUUAUGUGCUCUUGGGGGCCCCCUGGUGGCCACUGGGGCCCUAAGCAGCCGCUUAGUUCGCUUAUGCCUUGGGCCGGCUCUGCACCUUGCCAAGCUAAUAAACACUAGCUCCUCUUUGAACACCAGCCCAGAGAAGCUGUUGGAGACUCAGCAGCUUUGGCAGCGUCUGACAGAAACCUGCUCCUGUAAAUCCACCAGUGGUGAGUCCUUCCCAGGAUGCUCCUCUGACCCAGGCUACAUUUGUGACAAUGGUGAAGGAGAUUGUGGAGAGGCAGCUAGCAGCUCAGCAGUUGCAACAACAAAAACAGCCAAAGAAAACCAGGACUUGUCUCAGUUGUGGGCAGCCAAAAUCUCUUUACUUUGGCGAAGGCUCCUAUGUCAAUUUUGUUUAUCAGUCAGCAGAGGUGAAGUACUUUUACUGCUCCAAAAAAGUCUUCAUGACCUACGCAGCUGAAGGACUAACCAAUGCACCAAUGUGCUUUGAGGAUUUUGCAUCAACUGCCUUCUUCCAGCAGCAGCUCAACGCCUCAAAACAGAGAGGGGCAGAACAAAAGAGGGUAACAGAAGAGAGGAAAAAGAGGAAAUCUGUAGAGCUUCAUCCUCCUGGUCGCCUGUGCAGGUCCUGUCAUCUGCCUCUCAAACAAGGCCCCAACAGCUCUCACAUCCAUGCCUAUUUCCCUGGAGUCCCAGGAAAGUACAUUUACUGUCCCACUAAGGUUUUGUACUUGUACAUGUACCAGUCCCAGGGCAUGAUGGGAGAGAUGACUUGGACUGAAUUCAAGAAGUCUGCAUUUUAUGAGACUGAAAAGCAGAGAUGGAUGGUGGAGAAACGGGCAUAGAACUGAGACUCACUGACUCAUUCAGUCACUCACUCACUCACAAACGUAGACAAAACUGAUGUUUUCAAUGACACUCACACUCAUACUGUCAGUUGGCAGUCAAAUGUUCUGUUGUCUAUUUAUAUUAUUUAGUUCUUUGAAUAUAUAUAUUCAAGUAUAUAUUUGAUAGUACUUUAAUGUUUUUUUUUUUUACUUUGAAUUUUUUUAGGUUUUUAUUUGGAAUAAGUUUUACUAAUAUAUAUGUGUGUGUGUGUGUGUAAAAGAUUAAUUAAUCUUUACCUGGGUUCUCUAUAUGUAAAUACGUUUUUAGGAUGUUGUCUAUACCUCUGUACAUAAUACACAUUUUGACUUUGCACUAGUUAGAUUUGAACCAGUGGGGACUCCUUCCCUCCCUAUCUCCCUCCCACACUUUUAACCAGCCCCUUCAUGUUUAUACUGCCUUGCAGCUCUCUAUUUUUCCUGAUACUGCCUUUUUUUGCCCUCUUUAUGUCGGGGCUGAGUUUGCUAUCAGGUUGCCCUUGCACCGCUGCCACCUUGACCUAGACGAUAGAGGUCCCAGCUUCUGUACACCGAUGCUACUCCAUGCUCUACUGCAGGAUGUCAAUGAGCCACAUAGACAGCCACUUCUACCCUAUGCCACAAUGACUUUUUGCACCUCGUCAAUUGAGCAAACAACACAAAUUACAUAGUGACUUUCAAACAUAGUUGUAGAAACUGUUUUCCUUUUGUUUAUUGUUUUUUUGUCUUUAUACCAAACCCCUGGCCUAAACAUUUGUUAACCAUCCAUCUCUGGGGAGGGAUCCCUCUUUGAUUUGCUCCUCCUGAGGUUUAUUACUUUUCUUUCUCUCUUAAAGAGUUUUUUUGGGGGUUUUUCCUUGUCAUUGAGGGUUACGUUUGGAUAUCUGGAUGUCUAUGGGUAUUGUUAUGCCCUUUGUGACAUUGCUUGUAAAAAGCACUAUACAUAUAAAGUAUGAUUUGAUUUGAUAUAGUUCUGAAUGUUACUCCAUGUAACAUAACUGGUUAAUAUUGACUUUGUUAUUUGUAUUUUUUUUUUUAAAUAAAUCCUGUUAAACGUCUUUUAAUUACAGGACCAUUUAACGACUGCUGUAAUGUUGUCUUUUAAAAUACAGAAUUAGAAUAAAACUUAAGUAAACAAAUAAAUAAGUAAACACAAAGGUUGGACAAUUUAUUGCAAAAUGUAUUAAGAAUUAGUCCAGCUGGGAGGAGGCCUCGGGGAAGACCCAGGACUAG